UCAGGAUGAACGCUAGCGGCAGGCUUAACACAUGCAAGUCGAGGGGCAGCGGGUCUAGCAAUAGAUGCCGGCGACCGGCGAAAGGGUGAGUAACGCGUGAGCAACGUGCCCGUAUGUGGGGGAUAGUCAUUGGAAACGAUGCGUAAUACCCCGUAACACAUUUGACCGCAUGGUCAAAUGUUGAAAGAUUGAUUGCAUACGGAUCGGCUCGCGUGCCAUUAGGUAGACGGCGGGGUAACGGCCCACCGUGCCGACGAUGGCUAGGGGUUCUGAGAGGAAGGUCCCCCACAUUGGAACUGAGACACGGUCCAGACUCCUACGGGAGGCAGCAGUGAGGAAUAUUGGACAAUGGCCGGAAGGCUGAUCCAGCCAUGCCGCGUGCGGGAAGACGGCCCUAUGGGUUGUAAACCGCUUUUGCGAGGGAGCAAUAAGGUCCACGUGUGGGCCGAUGAGAGUACCUUGCGAAUAAGCAUCGGCUAACUCCGUGCCAGCAGCGGC
rnacentral:rRNA from 1 species